rnacentral:rRNA from 1 species
CCUACGGGUGGCAGCAGUGAGGAAUAUUGGUCAAUGGGCGCGAGCCUGAACCAGCCAAGUAGCGUGAAGGAUGACGGCCCUACGGGUUGUAAACUUCUUUGAUAAAGGAAUAAAGUGAGGCACGUGUGCCAUUUUGUAUGUACUUUAUGAAUAAGGAACGGCUAACUCCGUGCCAGCAGCCGCGGUAAUACGGAGGAUCCGAGCGUUAUCCGGAUUUAUUGGGUUUAAAGGGAGCGUAGAUGUGUUGUUAAGUCAGUUGUGACAGUUUGCGGCUCAACCGUAAAAUUGCAAUUGAUACUGGCAGUCUUUAGUACAGUUGCGGUCGGCGGAAUUCGUGGUGUAGCGGU